AAACCUGCCGGUCAAUACCCGGUAGCCUGACAUUACCUUUAGAAGAAGCACCGGCUAACUCCGUGCCAGCAGCCGCGGUAAUACGGAGGGUGCGAGCGUUAAUCGGAAUUACUGGGCGUAAAGCGUGCGUAGGCGGUUCGUUAAGUCAGAUGUGAAAGCCCUGGGCUCAACCUGGGAACUGCAUUUGAAACUGGCGGACUAGAGUUUAGUAGAGGGGAGUGGAAUUUCAGGUGUAGCGGUGAAAUGCGUAGAUAUCUGAAGGAACACCAGUGGCGAAGGCGACUCCCUGGACUAGAACUGACGCUGAGGUACGAAAGCGUGGGUAGCAAACAGGAUUAGAUACCCUGGUAGUCCACGCCGUAAACGAUGUCGACUAGCCGUUGGUCCUAUUUACAGGAUUAGUGGCGCAGCUAACGCAUUAAGACGACCGCCUGGGGAGUACGGCCGCAGGGUUAAAACUCAAAGGAAUUGACGG
rnacentral:rRNA from 1 species